rnacentral:rRNA from 1 species
GACGAACGCUGGCGGCGUGCUUAACACAUGCAAGUCGAGCGGUAAGGCCCUUUCGGGGGGUACACGAGCGGCGAACGGGUGAGUAACACGUGGGUGACCUGCCCUCAGCUCUGGGAUAAGCCUGGGAAACCGGGUCUAAUACUGGAUAUGACUCCAUGACGCAUGUUGUGGGGUGGAAAGCCUUGUGCGGCUGAGGAUGGGCCCGCGGCCUAUCAGCUUGUUGGUGGGGGAUGGCCUACCAAGGCGACGACGGGUAGCCGACCUGAGAGGGCGACCGGCCACACUGGGACUGAGACACGGCCCAGACUCCUACGGGAGGCAGCAGUGGGGAAUCUUGCGCAAUGGGCGAAAGCCUGACGCAGCGACGCCGCGUGA